rnacentral:lncRNA from 1 species
GAUUUGGUUCUAGUUAGCUUAGAUCUGGAUCAUGAAGCCCUUUUGUUGGUCACUACUGCUCAUUGAUUUUAGAUCGAAGGUUGUAUUGAAUUCUAAUAAUUAGACAUCGAAGUGACUAAAACCAAAAGAAAAUAAGCAAAUCUUGACUCAUUCAACCAUUUAUUUAUAAAAUACCCAACAAAUUAGACUCAAAUUUAUAAAGUCCAACUCACAAGAUUAAGGAAAAGAGGUGUGAAAUGGAUUAUUGAGCAUACCUAAAAUCGAUUCAAUUGAAAACAACAGCCCCUCCAUGAACUUCAUGAAAUCUAUGGGGAUGUUUCAGAUAAUGUGUAAUUGUAAAACUGAAAUUUCCAUUUGCUUCCAAAUCUUUUCAUCAAAAUCAAUUUAAUUUAAGAAAUAAUUAAUGAAUAAAUAAAUAAGUCAACACAAGUUACACAACUCCACCGGCGCGAUAGCAUCGACAGGCUACCCACGAUAGAAGCGUGACAAACAAGAGGCAAGGCUAACAUAAGGGCGACGGGACGAACUGCGACAGGUAAGCUACGGUGAUGACGACAAGCUGACAUGACCGCGAUGGUGAUGAUGACAAGCUGACAUGAGUGCGGCGACAACGAAGACAGGCUGAUUAAUAAGUGACGAUGGUGGAUAGGGUGUGUGUCGACAAAAGUGAGAGAGAUGCUGAGGGGGUAUGUGUGUGUGUGAAAGAUGAAGUGAGAGUGUAGAGGUGUGUGUGUGUCGGCUGGUGUGAGAAAGAUGGUGUGUUGUAUUGGGGCACAUGUGUGACAAAUUUUAGGGUUUAGAUUUAUAUUUGACUUAUUUAUGUUUUUUAUUUUAAAUAUUAUUUAGUAUUAAGUGAAAGAACCAAUUGGUUUGUC